rnacentral:rRNA from 1 species
AUGAACGCUAGCGACAGGCCUAACACAUGCAAGUCAGGGGCAGCAUGAAAUUAGCUUGCUAAUUUUGAUGGCGACCGGCGCACGGGUGAGUAACACGUAUGCAACCUGCCUGUAAGCGGGGGGAUAACCCCGGAGAAAAUUCGGACUAAUACCGCAUAAUAUCAUUGAUUCGCAUGUUUCAAUGAUUAAAAAUUUAUUGCUUACAGAUGGGCAUGCGUAUGAUUAGCUGGAUGGCGGGGUAACGGCCCACCAUGGCGACGAUGUCUAGGGGUUCUGAGAGGAAGGUCCCCCACACUGGAACUGAGACACGGUCAGACUCCUACGGGAGGCAGCAGUGAGGAAUAUUGGUCAAUGGUCUGACGACUGAACCAGCCAUGCCGCGUGAAGGUGACGGCCCUAUGGGUCUUAAACUUCUUUUGUAAGGGAGCAAUAAGCCUCACGUGUGGGGUGAUGAGAGUACCUUACGAAUAAGCAUCGGCUAACUCCGUG